GACGUGGAAGACAAGUGUUAUUCAUCUUUAAUAGGUUUAAAGGGUACCUAGACGGCAAAUCUAACUUCUUUUGUCUUAGGAAUAAUAAACCUAAGUGGGUACAGAUUUGCUAGAGUUUUAUAUGAGAAGGCGAGUAUUUCGGGUGGAGAGAUGAAAUUUAAUGAUACCCGUUAGGACUGGUAAUGGCGUAGGCAACCUUUUAUGUAAAAACUGACGUUGAGGGACGAAGGCUUUGGUCGCAAACAGG
rnacentral:rRNA from 1 species